GCUGGAGUGGGCCGAGCAGGCACUCGUCUCUCGUUUUUCUAAGUAGCCCUUUCCCCAUCUCGUAAUGGAUCUGCUGAGCAGUGGAAAAGAGCACCUCGACGGGCGCACUUUGUCCCCGGUCUAAGCUGUAGGCGCGGCUGCCGAGUGUGUCUGCGGCUCGUGUACAUACCCUGCUUUAAUAAUUACAUAUACGUCUAUAUAAACUCAUUAUUCAGGAGCGAGUGGAAGCGACGAGCAAAUUGGAGUAUUGGCAAAAGGGAUGCUUGCAGGUCUGGAUUCACACUCUCUUCCUAACUCGCCGCCCCUUUCCUCCUACUCUCCCCAAAUUGUAUUUAUCUGAGAUUAUGUCAAACUUCAGUGAUCGGAAAUGUCCAAAAGCCAUUCCCUCUGGAAAAAGUCAAAAGGGUUCCUGGCAUUAAAACGACCUUGCGUCAUUCCUGAUGAAAUUAGCAGCGCUGCAUGUUUAGAGUUGUGCUAUGGAUGCACUUUGGUCACAGUAAAAAGACAUUUGGGGUUUAAUCCCCUCAUCUGAACAGGAGUCGUCUGCUUUCCACUAGCUGCAAAUACUGAGACCGGCACUUGAAAGUACCUUAAACCUGCAGUUCAUUUUUCCCUUGUCUUUAAGUGUAAGUGAUGGGAAUUGCUAACCUCGGCUAAGAAAAUUUCAUUUCCCCCAUCCUGCUAAACGGUUAUGGUCGACAUAUGUUUGUUAUCGGAGAGAGGUGCUAUGAACACAGAGCCAUUUUCUUAGCAGCUCUUUGACUCUGUGUUACCAUAGUCCCAAACGGCAUUGGUCCUUUCCCGUUGGGAAGUCAUGAAUAAGAGACUAUGAAGCUUGCACGUCAGAUCUUCCUCAAUUAAUCCACCAUUAGCAUGUUUGGGAUCUUCUACUGGAUGGUUAACAGCAGCUUUGAUAACUGUAUGCUGUCCAUACCCAAUUAUGUUCUGCUAAAAACGAACUCUGCAGAACAACCUUCCUGAGCUGUCAGUGUCUCCCGUUUUCCUAUUUUAACGCUUGUGUGUAGUGGCAGGCGACAGAUGGUGUAGAUCAGAUCGAUUUGAUUGCAUUAGGCGAUUUUUUUUUUCCUCCUCUCCCCCCCGACUCCUUUUCUGGAAGCCCACAUUCAUCUGAGAGGCGAUCGCCGGGGACAUGGGAAGCAAGAGCAGCCGCCGAUGUGUGAAAGCAACGAGACAUGGCCAGCCAGAGGCGCCGGGGUCCCUUCCCGGGGUUUGUUAACAUGGUAAUCCGGCACCAGGAGAGAAAGCUGCUUUCUGAUGCUCAGAACCCAUUCCCCAUCACACAUCAGAUGACUCCCUGGUUUUACACACAGUUGGAGUUCUGCUGGAAACCUGGAUUUAAAGGGAAUCUGUUGCCUCGCGUGACAUCUUGCAAGCUCCCAGAGAGAAUUGAUGAAGCAUACAGCUAGGGAAUAGGAUGCCAAAGAAGCACAGAGGAAGAAACCAGGCAAUCACCAGGAUGGGAAGGUUCAGCGUCCAUUGGAUAUGGAACGAGAUCACUCUGCAACCCUUGUGGAUUCUCCUUCUUCUAAAGGGGAAUUAUAGUUGUGGAUUUAUUGUCCCGGUGCAGCACUUCGAACCAUCAUCAUCAGCAACAGCAGCAGCAGCUUUCUGACUCUCUUCGGUGACGGGUAUUCUUGGGUGGAUAAUACGGAUUACGUUGUUAUUGCUUAAGAAUACGCGUAGUCGAGGAGAGUACCGGCGGCGGGCAGGCAGGCAGGCAGCGCGACCGCCCCCAGCCCACCAGCUGGCUCCUAACGUCCUCUAGUUGCCAAGGUGAGCCUUGGACCCUGCCUACGGUCUAUGCCCCUGCACAUCAGCCCCACUGUGGCAGACGACAUCCAGAAUCCUGCAGUUCCUGGUUCCCGCACUGGGCAUUUGCUGCACACCAAGGGAAACCCACGUGCCAGUCACCUGACCCAGCUUGACUGCUGGUGGAGAUGAUGCUGGGGCUGACUUCACCCAGCUUGUUGCUGCCUGUCUGUCUUGUCUUAUUUGCCUGAGUUACGCCCCAGCCCACUCCCAUCCUGCUGUGCCACUACCUCGGGCCUGUGUGGAGUUUUCAAUUACGGCGACCUAGAAUGCAGAUGCUGCAUAAAACAGCUAGUGUGACUCCGGAAGAAAUAAAAAGCACUGCUAUGAUACCAGGAGGCUGAUUGAAACCACAGCAUAGCAAUGUCAUAACCUGUGGCUUUUAUCUCAGUAGAUAUAGAUUUUAGCCAUUAGAGCCUAGGAAUCCAACAGAUAACAAGCAGAGGAAAUGAUCUGUGCAUCCUCAGUUGUAACUGGUACAGUUUCACCAACAAAAGGAGGACCUGGUAAAUCACCAGAAGUAGAAAAAACCCAAACAUUUCAGAUAUAGUUCACAGGAUCACAGGAUGUUAGGGGUUGGAAGAGACCCAAAUUGAUCAUCGAGUCCAGCCUCCCUGCCAAAGCAGGACCAUACAAUCUAGCUCAGGUCACACAGGAACACAUCCAGACAGGCCCUGAAAGUCUACAGAGAAGGAGACUCCAUAACCUCUCUGAGCAGCAGGUUAUGCAGCAGUGUGAGUGCUCUGUGACCUUUAGAGUCAAGAAGUUCCCCCUUGUGUUGAGAUGGAACCUCCUCUGAUGCAGCUUCCAUCCAUUGCUUCUUGUCCUAUCCCAGGAAGCAAGUGAGCAGAGCCUGUCCCCUAUUCCUGGCCCUCAGAUAUUUAUAAAUAUUUAUUAAAUCCCCUCUCAAUCUUCUCCAGACUAAAAAUCCACAGGUUGCUGUCGUGGAGAGGAUUUCUCUAUUCCUCCCCUGUUAGGGGGAGGUGAGAAAUUAAUUUGAGGCAGUUUUGAUUUUUUAUAAAAUUAUUUAUUAAAAUUAAUAUUUACAAAUUUGUACCACCCCCAACCACUGUGAAAUCCGAUUUGUUUGCAAAGUUAUGAAAAUAGCUUUGGGAUAUAUUUACAGGGAUUGAUUAUUAAAUGAGAAUAUCAAAUUAUGAACAAUUAUAGACAGAGAAAAAGAUUUCUUAGGCUUAAUGCCUCUUAACAACUCUAGUGUUAGCCCAGUCGGGGCUGAAACUAUGUGUGCUCUUUAGAUAGAGAUAACUUAUAUUACAAAGGAAUUGAAGCUUACUUAGGUGUGCUGCUCUUGAGUAUCAAUCAUUAAUCACCCUCCCGGGAAUCUGUCUCAGCGUGUGCCCAGUACUUGGGGUCUUUGCAGCUGGAGUCUGUCCCAGCUUGCAGGGAUGAUAAGGGAUCCCAGUCUCUGGGUUAAGUAAAAUUUUCUCUAACCUUCUCUCCUGGUGUGGUCUCUGCCUUGGAGCUGCUGCUUCUGGAAGCCGUGUGUCCAGGGAUGGUCAGCUGGCAGGAAUUCCAGGUGCAGGAGAAGGAUUUGUCCAUGUAGCUUCUGACAAGGUCUCACAGCUGGCAAGCUGUGUUUGCAGGUUUGCAGACAGUCUGAGGGUCUGCUGGCUCUGGGUCUUUCCAGAGUUACAGGGUAGCUGGCAAGCAGUAUUUAUGCCGGGCAAGCAGGGUGUAUGCCGUGAUGCAUGGAAAAGAGCUCCGUAGACAAAUCAAGAUAGCUCUAGGCUUUGGCAGGGGGUUCUUGGCUCCCCAUAUAUAUAUGAAGUGCAGGCGUGCAUGCACUCUGCUUCUCAAAGGGCUUGCAGAUAGUUUGACUGCACCUUGAGAUCAAUACAUGAGGUCUGAGCCUCUGUAAUGCUUGCAAGUGAGUAAGGCCUGAUCCUGUGUCUAGGCCAUGCAAGUAGGUCAGGGCAGCAGGAUGCUGCUGCGGAUCAGAGCUGAGUCUAAAUGCUCUAAGCUUCUGAAUGGCUUGAACCUCUGAACGGUCUGACCAUCUGACCACGUGGUGCUGCUGUGCACCCCUCUUUAUGGACUCUGGGCGGAGAUUCGUGGCUCGUUGGACAUCUAAAAUGACCAAUCAGGUUGGCCGUAAGGCAAACCUUGCCCCAGUGGGCAGUAGAGACAUGCCUGGACCCUCCCAAUAGGGAUUACCUGCCCAGCCCUCAGGGGCACACGGGCUCUGUGUGUGUGUGUUACACAAUUUGUCUUCUGCCUCAUGGGUCCUGGCAGAAAAACAUGUCGGGGCAUGUAGAGGCAUGGUGAAGCCUCAGUUUUGAGGCUGCUGCCCCUCCACCACAGUCACUCAGCUCUCCUCAUAAGGAGAAUCACAGAAUGUUAAGCGUUGGAAGGCACCUCAAAAAAUCAUCCAGUCCAGCCCCAAUUAGGCAUGUAACACCUGAUGCCUUAGCAUCUAACUAUGUGUAACUUAAAAACAUUUCUUAAUUACUCACAAUACACUUAAACCUGUACAUGAAGAUAUCUCUGACCUCAGAGAACCAAUGUAUGGUUACAUUUGAAACCCUUAAUUCAGGCAAGGAAAUAAAUAGCAAGUGUAGGGCUUGACUCGUAUACGGGUACUAUGAUACCUGAAAUGACAGAAAAGGAAUAAAGGAAAAAAAAACUUAAUAUGAAGUGUGCCUGUUACUAACUUCUAGAAAAUCUCAGCAGCUAGAAUUUUAGGAUGUGGUCUGUAGACAAAGGUAAAGAGAGCAAACAUUUUAGUUUGGGGGUUUUCUUUCUAGAGCAAGGCAUAUAUAUCAAAUCAAAUCAAAUAAUAAGAUCAGUACUUUCUGGGCAAAUUUUAGUUGAGGAUCACAGAGUAAUUGAAAAUAUCUGUGCCUCAGCCUCAGAGCUAGCUAGAUAAUAAUGGUAAUUAUUACUAUAAAUAAAUAUUAGUAGUAUCAUUCUUGCUCCAACUAAAUUAAAAUUGAGACAUAGAGAAUUUAUGUCUUUGUCCAAAUUCUGUGUUUGACAUCCUUCUCUAAAACUAUUAUAGAUCAAGUUUGUUCUUUUCCAAAUACUGUAUGUGAUAUACUAUUCAGUUUAGGAGCUCUGAAAAAACAACCAGUUGAGCUUUCUUAUGAAACAGUGCCUGCGAACAUCUCCAUUUGUAUUUGAAUUCUGACGCAAUGACAGUCCUGCUUAAAAACAAACGAAACAACCACCAACAAAACAUAAAGGGAAAAAGGAAUCAGAAAAAUCAGUACAAAAUCUGUCAAGGCUCCAUCUGUGGCUGGGUAUCAGAAUAUCGCUGAGAAGCUCUGAAGAGCAAAGCUCAUUCCAAGUCUAACGCAUAGUGCUUUUUGGUUGAUGAAAUUAAUUCAAGCAGGGUGAAAUGAGGGCAUAUAACAUGAAAAGCACUGUUUCUGCACUGAAGAGUGAAGGAAAGCAGCAUCUCCGCUCUGCAUGUGUGGUCUUGGAUUUGGUACAUGUAGCCAUGCUUAGAUACUAAAGGUUUUACUUGGCAAAAUACUCAGCGUGUUCACGUCUCCUUUUGCUAGCCACAGAGACUUACUGCUUCUCAGAAAGCUGUCAGAGGAAUGAUUUCUGGUCCUGACAAGGUGAGGAAUUCGAUUAUGGAUGCUUGGUGCAAAAAGAGAGCUUUCAUAGGCAGUUACCUGAAGUGGUAUGGAAACAAAAUGAUGAUGGACUCCAUUCUGGCCUUGAAAAUACCCCUGAAAACAUGUCUGUUUCCUUCUGAGUGGUAAUAAAGAAAGGUUAGGGACACAGAAUCACAGAAAUUGCUGGUGUUGGAAGGGAUCUCAAGGAUCAUCCAGUUCCAACCCCCCUGCCAUGGGCAGGGAUACCUCAUACUAGAUCAGGUUGACCACAUCCACAUCCAGCCUGGCCUUAAAAACAACCAGGGAUGAGGCUUCCACCACCUUCCUGGGCAACCUAUGCUAGUGUCUCACCAACGUCAUAGUGAAGGACUUCUUCCUAAUGUCUAAUCUCAAUCUGCCCUCUGCUAGCUUGGAUCCAUCCCCCCAAUCCUAUCACUACCUGACAACCUAAAAAGUCCCUCCCCAGCUUUUUUGUAGGCCUGCUUCAGAUAUUGGAAGGCCACAAGAAGGUUGCCUAGGAGCCUCCUCUUCUCCAGACUGAACAACCCCAACUCUCAGCCUGUCCCCAUAGGAGAGCAGCUCCAGCCCUCUGAUCAUCCUCAUGGCCCUUCUCUGGACACAUUCCUUCUGUGAACACUUAUUUGUAGAAGAUAUUUUUAUAUCUUCUCUCCAGAGUCUGAAUUCUUAAGAGUCUGGGAGUAGUUUUCUGCUGUCACAGAUGGGAAAUGGGAGAAUCACAGAAUUAACCAUUGUAAUGCAUCACUUUUUUUUUUCCCCUUUUACAAACCGUUAGAGUAUGCAAACGCUCAGUUAACUGGUCCUUAUGUUUUCUCUUUAUUGAAUUGCUUUUACCAUGGCAAAUAAAUAUUCAUAAAGAAAUCUGGACAAUAAAUCAUUUCAAAUAGUUCAAAGUAAUUUUCUUUCUAGACUGUUUGUAUAUUCAGCUGUGACUCAUGCUUAAUAUUUUUUUCAAAAGAGAGACUUGUAGAAGGACAAUAGAGAUGAUGUGUCAAGUAGUCAUUAAAACAGGGGAUAAUGAUUAAAACUUUUUUGAUCUACACUGUGCUCUGUCAAAUUCUCGAUCUCCU